GACGAACGCUGGCGGCGUGCUUAACACAUGCAAGUCGAGCGAUGAAGCUCCUUCGGGAGUGGAUUAGCGGCGGACGGGUGAGUAACACGUGGGUAACCUGCCUCAUAGAGGGGAAUAGCCUUCCGAAAGGAAGAUUAAUACCGCAUAAGAUUGUAGUUCCGCAUGGAACAGCAAUUAAAGGAGUAAUCCGCUAUGAGAUGGACCCGCGUCGCAUUAGCUAGUUGGUGAGGUAACGGCUCACCAAGGCGACGAUGCGUAGCCGACCUGAGAGGGUGAUCGGCCACAUUGGGACUGAGACACGGCCCAGACUCCUACGGGAGGCAGCAGUGGGGAAUAUUGCACAAUGGGGGAAACCCUGAUGCAGCAACGCCGCGUGAGUGAUGACGGUCUUCGGAUUGUAGAACUCUGUCUUCAGGGACGAUAAUGACGGUACCUGAGGAGGAAGCCACGGCUAACUACGUGCCAGCCGCCGCAGUAA
rnacentral:rRNA from 1 species